UCCAGCCCCGCCCCCUUCCUGACUUUGCUUCCUGUUUCCUGCCACACCCAGCCUAGCUGUCUCUUCCUAGAGCUGUUUCUUGCAGCUUUCCCUGCCUUGGUCUCUCAACCCCACUGGGAUCUGACCAGCCUGGGCCCUUCUCAUCCCCACUGCCCCCUAAAGGGGACAAAAGCCUCAGAGGAGGGAUGCUACACCCUUCUCCAUUCUCCACAGGGCUACCCAAGCAAUCAGAAUAUAUUUCCAGGGCCAGACUUCCAUGCUGAUGAAUGUUAUAUGAACUAUGUGGACACUACAACCUGUUUCUGCAAUAGCCCUUAUUUAGAACAAAGUCUCAAUAGUUGCUUUGGACAGAGGACCUGGAUGUUUAAUUAUCCCAUUUCCUUUUUCCUGGGACUGGAUUAGUUGGAGGACAGUUGUUCUCUGACCUCAACCAAACUCCAUGUUUGCUGGGAAGUUUGUUCAAGUUGCUCAUAUCUUCAAAUCAAUGCAUAUCAAGCUAAGCCUUUGAGUUAAGUUUUCCUCUAUCACUAGUGAUGGUGACCUCACAAUGAGCUGUAGAGUGACUUUUCCUUCCUCUCUCAAAAGGGGUAUAUGUGUGAGUGUGUAGGAGGAAAAGCUGCCUGUCAUAUUGUGAAGGCUUUGGACUUUGGCUUGUGAAUAUUGGACUGGUGAAAUCUGGACCUCCAUGACUGAAUUGUGGAAGUUGUCUGUGUGAGCAGCUUAGCUCUUUCAAAAUGUGUAGUGAGGGAAAGUGACGAUGUAUGCUACUACUGGGCUUUGUUCAGUGCCAUUUGUACGGAAAUGUUUGUAAUUCUGCUCCUCAGUGGGCCAUGGCAACUAGUACGAUUGUAAUCUGCCCCUUUCAUUUUCUUGCUUUCGUUCAAAUGAGGCCAUCUAACAAUGAAGGAAGGGUAUUCUUAAGAGAGUAACUAGACUAAUUUUUUAAAAAACUGGUUUAAGAUUAAAUAUCAGGCACACAGAUUCUUAGCAAGCGUUUAGUGAAGUUAGGAAUUUUAAUUAAUGGACUAACGCUUAGGAUCUGGCUCUUUGAUAAGACCCAUAUAUCCCAAGUAAAUAAAAAUGAGGGAUGUGUCUCAGUCAGCAUGCGAUAAGACAUGUCUCUCAGUCUCUGUGUUGGGAAAGUUCUCUUGUUCAGUUUCUUGGUGCCUGGGAAAGCAGCUUUUAAAUUACAACAAAAGUUUGAAUCAUUGCAUGGAGUCACUGGCCCCUCUGAGGGGGCUUUCUCUGUCUUCUUAAGAACAGACCACGCACAGAGCCAGAUGGUUCCCGUCUGCUGGCUUUAUUCAAUGCACUUCCUCCCACAGACGGGAGCCCUUUUGCCCUCCUUUCACCCCUCCUCUUUCAAGCAUCUACCAUGGAGCCUUUCUGUUCUGUGGCUGGAAAUAAUCUUUUAUUGCCCAGUUGUUCGGAAGUGACCUUUUGCCCUUGAUUAGAUAGCACCAGGCUCUAUCACCGGAUUGCUUUUGAGCUGGCAGUUGCUUUUUGUCUUUGCUGAUCCGGUGUCAGGAAGAACAAUGUAAAGGUUUGCAAAAAUUUUAGUUCAGCUAUGGCCCCAUGUGGAAUGGCAAGAGGUGGGGAAAGAUACUAGUAUGCUGUAGAGCAGUCUUUGCUGACCUUAAUUUUUUUUUUAAAGAAACAUACAUUGCAAUGUAAAAUCAUCAGCUUUGAGAUAAAUGACUUCCUAGAAUUUCCCCAUUGGCUUUUCCAUUCUUCUGAAUAACUAGUCAAUUGUGAUAAACAUCCAUGAGGAAAAUGAAUAUUUGAUACAGAACAUGCUAGUAUAUGUGCAAAAACCAGUACAUUGACUUAAAUCUACAACUUUGUAUCCUGAUACUCAGUGUUAUUUGGACUAUUAUUAUUGUAGUUCUAACUUGGUUAACUUAGUUUAUCCUUCUCUGUUCUUCAGCCUGUGUUGUAUAUGGCCAAUUGCGUCUGUCUGUCUGUUUAUCAGCCUCAUUCACUGAUGGAUUCACAUGCCGAUAGGGUAUUGAAAUGUUCAGGGUACUUCCUAACAAAUUAGAUCUCUGAAAUUUGGUCCAAGACAUUCCAGCUGAUUAGUAACAUAUUAAAAAUGGAUUUUUAUA